rnacentral:rRNA from 1 species
CAGCAGCCGCGGUAAUACCAGCACCUCGAGUGGUCAGGAGGUUUAUUGGGCCUAAAGCAUCCGUAGCCGGUUGCAUAAGUUUUCGGUUAAAUCUAUGCGCUUAACGUAUAGGCCGCCGAAAAUACUGUGCAGCUAGGGAGUGGGAGAGGUACACGGUACUCGAUAGGAAGGGGUAAAAUCCUUUGAUCUAUUGAUGACCACCUGUGGCGAAGGCGGUGUACCAGAACACGUUCGACGGUGAGGGAUGAAAGCUGGGGGAGCAAACCGGAUUAGAUACCCCCGUAGUCCCUGUCUCUUAUAC